GUCCCUCCGUUUUAGCUGCCGCCGCGGCGGCCGCCGAGCGCGCUCUUUCCGCCCCCCUCUCGCGCGUGAGCGCGCCCUCGGCUCCUGGCGCGUCAACAUUCCGCGGCCCAGGCCUUGGGGCGCGUCUGAGGAGGGGGAUGUCUGUGGCCUCUCCGCCCACACUUCCUCCACCCACCGCCCGCAGCGCCCCAGAAAGACCUAGUACUCGUUGGGCUUCUGAAGGCCGAAGCCAGGCUCAGGCGGGGAUAGAACCCUGAAGGGCCUGCGCCAGCUCCAACUUAGGGCCCUGUGCGUCGUUGCGACUGCCGCUACCACCCCAUCACGCCGCACCCCCGCCCCAACUCCGCCCGGGUCUCUGAGGAGGCAAUAGGCCUUUCAUCUCCUGGGAAGGUCUCACCUUGGCCCUCAGACACCCGCCAAGAGGGGUCGGAAGGACAGAAUUAGCAUAGAGAAGAGGGGCUAGACCACUUUUCAGGCUCCGGCCCCAGGAAUCCUUGACAGGAAGCGUGGGGUUGCUGCCCAGCCUCCCACGCAGUGUAAUAUUUUGAAGCCGGGCCCCUUUGAGGGAAUGCGACUUCCUUAGGCCGAGGGGGAAAGGGCAGUGCCUGAUGGCUGAGAAGAAUCGCAGAGGACUAGAAAAGGUUUGAGUCUGGAAUUAUCUGCCACAGAGAAUUAGAGCUCAGAAAUAAGUUAUUACGAAACAGUUCAACUUCCCUGUUAACGACAACAACAACAACACGCUUAUUAAUUCCUAGCUGGAGCAUCAAGCUUAUGAAGAUUCCAAGUAAGACUUUAUUGUUGACUCUUGUUGAAGAGAACUCUACUUGGCUUCUUUCCUGGCUUUCCUAAAUUGUUCACAUACAAGAUAAACUACCAUCAUUCAGACUUACAGAAGUGAGAGGACAAGCUGAACCAAAUGUAAAAUGGUAGCAAUUUACAGAUAAUUCUGUAUCUUAA